rnacentral:tRNA from 1 species
GUCAGGAUGGGCCGAGCGGUCUAAGGCGCCAGACUCAAGACUGACUCCUUCCUUGUCAAAGGGAUUUCUGGUCUCCGAAUGGAGGCGUGGGUUCAAAUCCCACUUCUGACA